UGAUGUGGGCGUGGUCAGUGUGUGUGUGUGUGUGUGUGUGUGUGUGUGUGUGUGUAAGAGUAUAAAUAGAGAGCAGGAGAGACAGUCUGUCCUUUCUUUUCUCCGGACUCCUUCAGUCUGCAGGAGCAGAAACUCAGAGCGUUCAGGCUCUGCUGCUCCGAGAGGAUUUCUUCAGUCAUGUAGACUGCGCUUGCAUCUUAUCUUUCUUUAAAAGAGGAAGAGGAGUUAAAUCAUACCCUCCAAGGGGUGUGUCACUCAGUCCUUCUGUCCCCUGUGUCAGACCUCAUGUGGGGGCCAUGCCCUCCUGAAGAGGACCAGACUCCCCCUGCAGUCUGCACUCGGGGUCCAGCGGGUCUGCAGUGAACAGCGCCGGGUCAACCCUGACCUGCCAAUCAAAACAAGACUCCAGAACCAACCACAAAAACCACAAAACUCGAAACUCUCUCUGGGUUCUGGUGUCUGUUUAUUGGUUGGCAGGUUUUGUGGUUGUCCUGCCGUUGAACCGAAACCUAACAUUCAUCCCUUUAAGGCUGUACGCCAUUUUCCAACUUAACACAAAUAAUACAUAAAAACAGUAAAAUUAUGGAACAGAA